CUCCCCAGUCAACAAAAUACCCACCAGAUAGUACAUUUAUUACCACUGAUGAACCUACACUGACACGUCAUCAUCACCCAGA